UGGGGAAUUUUGGACAAUGGGGGAAACCCUGAUCCAGCCAUGCCGCGUGCGGGAAGAAGGCCUUCGGGUUGUAAACCGCUUUUGUCGGGGAAGAAAUUGUCCGGGCUAAUAUCCCGGGCCGAUGACGGUACCUGAAGAAUAAGCACCGGCUAACUACGUGCCAGCAGCCGCGGUAAUACGUAGGGUGCAAGCGUUAAUCGGAAUUACUGGGCGUAAAGCGUGCGCAGGCGGUCCUGUAAGACAGAGGUGAAAUCCCCGGGCUCAACCUGGGAACUGCCUUUGUGACUGCAGGGCUUGAGUACGGCAGAGGGGGAUGGAAUUCCGCGUGUAGCAGUGAAAUGCGUAGAUAUGCGGAGGAACACCGAUGGCGAAGGCAAUCCCCUGGGCCUGUACUGACGCUCAUGCACGAAAGCGUGGGGAGCAAACAGG
rnacentral:rRNA from 1 species